rnacentral:rRNA from 1 species
AAUCAACGCUGGCGGCGUGCCUAACACAUGCAAGUCGAACGAGAAAGGGGAGCAAUCCCUGAGUAAAGUGGCGACCGGGUGAGUAACACGUGACCAAUCUACCUUCGAGUGGGGGAUAACUCCGGGAAACCGGAGCUAAUACCGCAUAACAUCUUUGGAACGCGAGCUCCGUUGAUCAAAGCAGCAAUGCGCUGGAAGAGGAGGUCGCGGCUGAUUAGCUAGUUGGCGGGGUAAUGGCCCACCAAGGCUUAGAUCGGUAGCCGGCCUGAGAGGGAGCACGGCCACACUGGAACUGAGACGCGGUCCAGACUCCUACGGGAGGCAGCAGUGGGGAAUUUUGCGCAAUGGGGGAAACCCUGACGCAGCAACGCCGCGUGGAGGAUGAAGUCCCUUGGGACGUAAACUCCUUUCGACCCCGACGAUAAUGACGGUACGGGUGGAAGAAGCACCGGCUAACUCUGUGCCAGCCGCCGCCGUAACAC